CUGACGCUGAGGAGCGAAAGCGUGGGGAGCGAACAGGCAUUAUAUACCCUGGUAGUCCACGCCGUAAACGAUGAGUGCUAAGUGUUAGGGGGUUUCCGCCCCUUAGUGCUGCAGCUAACGCAUUAAGCACUCCGCCUGGGGAGUACGGUCGCAAGACUGAAACUCAAAGGAAUUGACGGGGGCCCGCACAAGCGGCGGAGCAUGUGGUUUAAUUCGAAGCAACGCGAAGAACCUUACCAGGUCUUGACAUCCUCUGACAAUCCUAGAGAUAGGACGUCCCCUUCGGGGGCAGAGUGACAGGUGGUGCAUGGUUGUCGUCAGCUCGUGUCGUGAGAUGUUGGGUUAAGUCCCGCAACGAGCGCAACCCUUGAUCUUAGUUGCCAGCAUUCAGUUGGGCACUCUAAAGGUGACUGCCGGUGACAAACCCGGAGGAAGGUGGGGGAUGACGUCAAAUCAUCAUGCCCCUUAUGACCUGGG
rnacentral:rRNA from 2 species